rnacentral:rRNA from 1 species
AAAUUGAAGAGUUUGAUCAUGGCUCAGAUUGAACGCUGGCGGCAGGCCUAACACAUGCAAGUCGAACGGUAACAGGAAACAGCUUGCUGUUUCGCUGACGAGUGGCGGACGGGUGAGUAAUGUCUGGGAAACUGCCUGAUGGAGGGGGAUAACUACUGGAAACGGUAGCUAAUACCGCAUAACGUCGCAAGACCAAAGAGGGGGACCUUCGGGCCUCUUGCCAUCGGAUGUGCCCAGAUGGGAUUAGCUAGUAGGUAGGGUAACGGCUCACCUAGGCGACGAUCCCUAGCUGGUCUGAGAGGAUGACCAGCCACACUGGAACUGAGACACGGUCCAGACUCCUACGGGAGGCAGCAGUGGGGAAUAUUGCACAAUGGGCGCAAGCCUGAUGCAGCCAUGCCGCGUGUAUGAAGAAGGCCUUCGGGUUGUAAAGUACUUUCAGCGGGGAGGAAGGGAGUAAAGUUAAUACCUUUGCUCAUUGACGUUACCCGCAGAAGAAGCACCGGCUAACUCCGUGCCAGCAGCCGCGGUAAUACGGAGGGUGCAAGCGUUAAUCGGAAUUACUGGGCGUAAAGCGCACGCAGGCGGUUUGUUAAGUCAGAUGUGAAAUCCCCGGGCUCAACCUGGGAACUGCAUCUGAUACUGGCAAGCUUGAGUCUCGUAGAGGGGGGUAGAAUUCCAGGUGUAGCGGUGAAAUGCGUAGAGAUCUGGAGGAAUA